rnacentral:lncRNA from 1 species
CUUGUCCCCUCACUCCUGGGAAAGCAAGACCCUUCCUGGAAAGGGAAGGAGGAUGCUGUGAAAGGUCUCAGACCAGCAACAGAAGCAGGUUUUGGACCUAGACGAGAUGUCGAGAUGGUCUGAGAGAUGGUGGGACUCUCCAGGGAGCCAUCCUUUCCAGGUGCUGCAAAGCUGGGGGUAGAGCUUUAUUCAGUAAUUCACUGCGUCUGGAUUCAGGAAAACUGGCGGCUUAUGAUACAGGCCAUGCUUUGGGGGAAGACAGUCUUUCGCCUGUUCCCUGAGCAGUGAUUAUAGGUCUAACAGGAGACUGAAGUCGUGUUUAAGCCGCUGACAGGCACCUGGCAUUGGUUCACGUGCCUGCUUUUAAAUAAAGCCCCUUUUUUAAAGGGGGGCGUGAGUGAU